GUAAGCUGUCUCUUUCCCUCCAGCCAGCUCAAAGAACCAGCCCUUGCUCUUGAGGUGGAAGAUGUCAAAAGUCAGGCAGCUUUGAUGUGUGUGGCUGUGAGAGAAACGGCCUAAUGUUUCACUGCCAGAUGUGAAAUGACUGGACUCUUCUAGUCCAGGAGCACUCCUUGGACCCACCUAUCCUAUUGCUCAUCCUUUCCACCUGCUCCCUUACAGCUCCUUGCUGGGUCUUGAGAGGCAAGCACAGUGCCCUUGCUGCUCCCUUAUAGCUCCAUGCUGUGCACACAAAGGGGCUUCCUUCUCCUGCCCUUCUGGCAAGAGAGGCUUGGGGGUGAGGUGAGGCAUGGGGUAACUGCUGCUGAAACACCCCUCAGACUUUCCAGUUGGCGUCUCGAGAACCAACUCCAAAGCCAAGAGAGUGAGGGAGAACACAGAAACCUCUCGAAAUAACAUCUGUUGAGUUAAUGUUUGAAGAACUUGAAGAAAGUGUUUGGACAUAGUCCAGUUCUGUUUCUAGGGAAAUCUAGGACUUAAUCAAGGAACAAAGUUCAUAGGUGUGGGAGGAAAAAUUAGGAAACAUUUUGUUUUGGUAGCUGGAAAGCUUGCCUCCAGAAGUGAUGGAAAGAAGCUCAAAGAGGAACUCGUAUCUUUCUCCAAUUGGCCCAAAUCUGGCAAAAGUGAAGCAUCAUGCUUCGAGCUCUGCUGCUCGCAGGAAACAACAUGGAAGUUGCUCUGAUUAAAAGAACCAAAAGGAAGUGAAGUGUGGAACUGUCUUCUGUGAGCCCUACGUCUCAUCUGGGCUCGUGAUCAGGGUUAUCGCAAGUCCAGAAGGGUUCAGAUGGUCACGCAGCUCCUGCCUGCAGAGGACACGUGGGAGAUGGAAGAACUGGCACUUCGGUGCCCUCAAGAGGUGGUACAAACUGAAACAUAAUCUGGUGCAUAAAAGAGUUUAGAAUGACUCAUAAGUGACCAGUUUAUAGACUUUUCAAAGGGACCCGGGAAUAUUUGUAUGGAAGCCUCUACUAUGUACAAAGGGGACAGAAGGAUGAGGCAGAUAAGGUCCUUGUUCUGAAAGAGCCUACAAUCCGGGAAGGAGAUGAGAUGUGCGUCCACGUGGCUAGCAGAUGAGAGAGGAGACGAGCCUGCCUGCUCCCCUGCUUCGAGGCUUUUCUCAGCACAAAGGAGCACGAAUCAGCCUUCAGCGUCUUGAAGAGCAAUGAAUAUGUUUGCUGAAAGAUUCUGGAGGGAGCUGGCAAGGGGUGAGGGACCAGGCAUCACAUGGACCAAUACAGUGAAGACUUCUCGAAAAAAAAUCCUCUACCCAUCUGCCUCGCAGGUUCCAGGUCUCCCGGUGAUGGCUGAAAAUCCUUCCUCUCUUGGAGUCAGGCCUCCUGCUGCUUGGCCGGCUCCUUCCUCCCUCCCUCCCCUUUGUCAACAUCACACCACAUUCCCGCUGCCCCCCACGCCAGCCCCACAGAUGCUGUCUUUGCUUCUCUGUGCUGCUUUCUUCAGCUGGCUCUUUUCAGUAGCCCUCUUGGCCCAUCUUGGUCUCCGCAGGUUCUUUCCACCAUCAGCCAGUGAGGCCUCAGUGGGGAGGGGCAAACACAGGGGCCUCCUUGGGGAUGAACUAUACCUGAGCCCAGCGCUCCGAGAGAACAGUGAAGGUUAAUCCCGUGAUGUCUGUGACUGAAAUCUCCCAUCCUUUUAUGCUCUGGGAAAUGGCUUACCACAGAGAACCAUCCUUCCCCACGUGCCUUAAAUAAGACCCACUGUUACGGGCUGAUGUGUCCCCCCAAAUUCAUAUGUUGAAGUGCUAACUCCCAGCCCCUCAGAAUGUGACUGCAUUUGGAGAUGGGGUUUGAAAGAGGUGAUUGAUUUAAAAUGAGGUCAAAAGAGGGGGGCCUUAAUCCAAUAUGACUGGUGUUCCUGUAAGAAGAGGAGAUCAGGACACAGACACACACCAUGUGAGGGAAGAUCACGUGAGGCCCCAGGGAGGAGACGGCCAUCUGCAAGACAAGGAGAGAGGCUGCGGGAGGAAACAGCCCAGCUGACACCUGCAUCUCAUGCUUUCACCUCCAGAGCUGAGAGACAAUAAAUGUCUGUUGUUUAAGCUGCCUAGUCUGUGGUAUUUGUUACAGCAGCCCGAGCUGACUGAUACACUCCCUGUCCACUCAUUCUCGUGACCCCCAUAAGAAUCAUGGAUGGCUCCCUGUUUACCUGUCACAAGGCCAGACACAGACCUCCAAAUUCCCGUCUUUGUUUCAUAAAUGAUUAACUGAGCUGUUGUCCCCCAAAACUAGACAUAGGGAUAGACAUUUCUUGUUCAGCCAACUGACAGACUCCCGUGGUUACAAAAACGUCCCAACUGUGAAGUCACCCGCCUGGGACUUGUCUACUGCUCCCUGUAAGUGUCUAGACAAAACCACUGUGGAGACCCUCUUAUCUUUGGAUCUGGAGUGCUCUCCCUACCACUAUAGUCUGGAUAAAUCAAUGUCCUUGCCUGUUUGUUUGCCUUUGACAAGUUGGAGCUGUGUUCAGAGGGAGCUGGAAGCAUCUGGACUCCGUCUUCCAGUGCUGAGGGCUGAGACCUCUCCAGCCUGUUGUGCUCCUUCUUUGACUGUGCUCCAGGGAUCCCACGGUGAGUCCAGCUCCUGAUCUCGGCUCUGGACCUUCGUCCGCGGUAGCAUGGAUCCUCAAUGCAAACCUGAGAGAUUUAACCCUCCCCUGCAACUCCAUCCUUAUCUGGUAUGUAGAUGACACUUCUCUGCUUACCUGAUAUUGACAGCUCAUUUAUCACCACCCAUUAUUUACUCCAAGCCUACAAAGGACAUAAGGUCUCUUAAGACAAAAUGCAGUGAUGCCGUCCUCAAGUGCAUUACCUAGGGCAUGCGAUCUCCUCUGAAGAGAAGAUCUUAUUCCCUCAAUGAAUUAACACUAUCAUCAAUUUCCCUCUCCCAGCAGUUGACUGUUGCAGGAACUGGAUCCCUAACUUUCCACUGUGGUCUCCCCCUUCUUGGCCAUGGCUAAGGAGACCAUCCCCAAGCCCCUUAACUGGGACUCUCCUUCCACGUCUGCAUUUCAAAGCCUCACAUCCUCUUUAUCCUCUUCUCCCGCCUUUGCAUUUCCCACUGCUGGUGGGAAUAUAAAUCGGUACAACUGCUUUUAAAAAUGGUUUGGCAUUUUUUUAUAAACUUAAGCAUACACUUACCAUAAGACUUAGCAUUUGCUCUCUGAGAAAUUCAUUCUCUCCAAGAGAAAUGAAAACACGUCCACAUAGAGACUUGACCACGAGUGUUCAUAACAGCAUUUUUCAUAGUGACGGCAAACUGGAGGCAACCCGACAGUCCAUCAGUAGGUGAAUGGACAAAUAAGUUCAGGUAUAUCCAUACAAUGGGUCACUACAUCGCAAUAAAAAGGGACAAAUUAUUGAUGUAUGCAACCUCUGUGGAUGAAUUGCAUAGGCAUUAUACUGAGAGAAAGAAGCCAGACACAAAAAGAGUACUUACUGUAUGAUUUCAUUUCUAUCAAACUCUUGAAAAAACAAAUCUAAUCUGUAGUGACAGAGAGCAGAUCAGUGGUGGCCUGGGGCUAAGUGUGGAAAGGAUCGGCUGGGAAGGGGCCUUACAGGAGCAUUUUUGGGGUGAAUGAAAUGUUCUGUUCCUUGCUUGUGAUGGUAGCUACACAGGUAUACAUUUGUCAUAUAGGAGCAUUUUACUGUAUGGAAAUACACCUCAAUAAAGUUGAUAUAAAUUUAAAAACAAAAAAGAAUGAGUCGCAUGUACAGACAUGGAAUAUUUUAAAAUGCCACAGAAAAAUAAGCCUAGAAUUAUAUUUAAAAAUAAUAAAAUUUUAAUCACUUCCUUAUCUAUGUAAAUACCUGGUAAAAGAUCCAGAAAAAUCACAGCAAAGUGAUAACUGCGUGUUGACUAAGGGGAGAGGAGUGAGAUGGAGGGGACUUUCCACUUCCUGCAAGUAAUGUUUACUCUGUACUGUUAGGUUUUUAUAAUCAGUAUGUAUGUAUUAUUUGUAUACUGUCUUUUAAAAAAGAAACACGCGUGCACACACACACACAAAGGCACCUGUCCCUAAUCACAUGAAUCUCAGUCCAGUUCUGACUCCAGAGCAGAAAGCUAAGAGCCCCUAGGCAUGAGGGCUCUGCUGUGAAGGAGGACCACAGCUCCUUCCCCAUCAACUGCAGGCCCAGGACACCAGGCUGAAGGGGCAGGGUGCUCCAGUCAUCACCUUGCCAGCCUUCUGGACUCUGGCCACUGUGGCGGCUCGGCAGGUCAUGUGGAAGAGCUAAGCCAGAGGAAUGCCUGAGGCUCCAUCAGUUUUUCAUACUACUUGACUACAAUAAUUGUGAACAAUUUGUUUUCUUGAUAAGUGUUUUCUAGUGACAACCAAAUAAUCUAGUUUCCAGUAGAGCAGUGGUUCUUAACUGGGGAUAAUUUGCCCCUCAGGGGACAUCUGGCAAUGUCUGGAGACAUUUUUGAUUGUCACACCAAGGGGAGAGGGUGCUACCAGCAUCUAAUGGGGAGAGGCCAGGAAUGCUGCUUCACAUUGUACAAAACACAGGCCAGCUCCCACAACCAAGGAUUAGCCUGCCUGAGAUGUCAGCAGUGCGAGGCUGAGAACCCAGAUGCAGGCAACUGCUUCUAUGACACUCAUCAGUCUUCUUUAAGAAAUAGAAGGAAAUCAUCCAGGUUGCUUUAGUGAUGGAGGUGGAUUCGUACAGUAGUGUUCUGUCUUUAAAUGGAAUGAGCUAUAGCGUGGCAAUAGAAACAGAGCAGUUGUCUUCUUAUCUUGUUUCUGGACAAAAGUUGGUCUUGGGCAAAAACAUGAAGGGCAACUCUGGGAAGGUAGCUGUUGUUGGAAGAGGACUUGGCUAGGAGCAUGGUGCCCUGGGUUCUAGCUCUGGCUCCUUCAUGCAAUUUCUGCAGGUCUUUGGGAGCGCCACUCUCUAGGGGAGCAGGGGGACUAAAGCAUCUUCAUCUUUCCUCUGGUUCCAACAGUUUUUACUCUCUAACAAGUCCGUGCAUGAGUCAGUUUGGAGAGUUGCUAAAGCACAAUGAAAUGUAAUGGAAGAAGGAAGAAGAAACCACUACAGCUCAGCCCUCCCACUCCUAGCAUGUGCUCCCUCCCAGCAUGUGCUCCCCGUGUGACCUGCUUCCUCUAUCCCGCUUGUGCUUGAGAACCAGCUGCUGAGAAAGGAGGAGUCCGGCAGGCAGGCAGGCUGGCCAGGGGUGAGCCCCCAGCUUGGGGACAGUCGUGUGAGAAUGGGCUGGGCAGAGGAAACUCUUCGGUGCUUGUUUUCACAGUGGGGGUCCAGGUAUCAGAAAGAAGUUAGCUCACCUGAGGCUUCCUAUAGAGGCUGCCGUGCUGCGGUACCCAGAGCGUGCUUCUGGAUGGCGAUUAAGCAACGGGAACAAGUUCUGGAGGUCUGCUUGGUGCUAAAUCCACACUCCAUCCGUCAGGAUUCUGUGGGUUGCACACGUGCCUCAUCCAUCUCAGCUGGGGAUGCCUCCAGCUUCCCAUCGCAGUUCUCUAAACCCUGAUGAGGUGUGGAGCUUAGAGAGCGUGGAUAACAUGAGCAUCGCUGGGCAGGUGAAAUGAGAAAGCACUGUGCCUGACCCCGCCCCUCUGCCGCCUCCCCCGGCUUCCUAACCACACACAGUGUAGGUCUCACGUUGCUGACUCACACGGCCCACUAGCUGGAGACAUUCUGGAGGGUUGACUGCCACAAGCCCAAAUCAUGGGUUUGUCAUGUUAUUUUCAAAUGUGGUCUUUCCUACUUUCUAUUAUGGAUGUCAGAUUUUCCUCCUUCCCUAAAAGUUAUCUUUACACACACACACACACCCCUGCAUCUGGGUGGGGGGAGGUGGACGUGCGAGACAGCAAAAAUACAUGUUAAAUUCGGGUCACCUUAUGUCUUAGGCUGCUAUAACAAAGUACCGUAGCCUAUUGGCUCACAAACAACAGAAAUUUAUUUCUCACAGGUCUGGAGGCUGAAAGUCUGAGAUCAGGGUGCCAGCAGGGUCAGGCAAGGGUCCUCUUCUGGGCUGCAGACUUCUCGUUGUAUUUUCACAUGGCAGAAAGAGGGUGAGAGAGCUCUCUGGGGUCCCUUUUAUAAGAGCACUAAUCCAACCUCAGGACCUACUCACCUCCCAAAGGCCCCACCUCCUAGCACCGUCACCUUGAGGGGGUAGGAUCUCAACAUGUGAAUUUGAGGGGGACACAGACAUUCAGUCCGCUUCAUGCCAUUUCCUCGGUUCUAGGAGGAACACUUUCUCAUGCUUUAACCAUUUUGAAAUCUCCAUGUCUUACACUCGCCGUCAACUAAGCAGCAGUGUGACAUAGUUGUCAUUGCCACUGUAUGAGCAUCAGAGCUUAGAGAAUGGGUGAGGCUUGGGGGAAAAUCCCAAGGACAACUGUGGAGCACUUUGAAAAGAAAUACGGCCUUACCAAACUCUCCUGGGAGCUCCUGAUGGCUCACAGGACAACGGUGUGUGGGAAAACAUGGAUUUCAAAGGUCCCGCAUCGAAGAGCGAUUUCAAAGAGGUAAAUUCUGACUGUGAAAAUGUUUUACACAUACCUUAACCAAUUUAUUUAGUCUAUAUUUCCCUUUUUGUGUAUGCAGAAAAGUGAUAUAUGAUUUAAAAAAUUCCAUGUCCAAAUAGAUCUAAAAGAGCUCUUUUAAUACAUUUAAAAUAAAAAUUAAAAGUGCCAAGAAAGCAUUGUGACACACGUAGUUAGAUGUCAGCGUUUCUCCUUUCUGAGUGCUCCAUUAACUGACAGCGCAUCUUACACCAAUUUAGUUUAGAUUCCGUGAAAUACAGUAGUGUUUAUGUUUUAUGUUUCAAUAGUCAUCAAUCUGUUUCUAAUGUAUUCAUGGAAAAAUAUGUGAGCCAUCUUGCCAUUAAACUGUUUUUGAAAUCGCGUGGAAGCCUGCCCAUGUCUUUGUAAUUUACUUAAGAAACUCUCUUGCUUUCGGGAGGACGAGUUUCAAUAUCGUAAGGCUCUCUCUCUGGGUAUAUUUUUGGUUAAGUUUUUGUUAAUCCUGGCAUUUGUCUAAAGCAAUGAAAGGCAAGUGAAAUUAAAAUGCUCACAUUAUAAAAUGUGCAAUCCGGAGAACAAAAACUCAGUUGUGCAAAGUUGGUGUGGCUUUGAUAAAAACAGUUCUGGUCAAAAGCCUGGCCUGUUGGCUCCAGCAGUGACUGACUUACGAUGAGGGACACAUAUGUGCGUCCUUGAGUUUUCUUGGUGGGGCCCAUGGAUUUAUUUAAUAUAUUUAAAUAGAAAAUUUUACCCUUAUCAUUGCUGCUGCAGGUGUAUUUAUUUAUACUAUCUUUGCUUUUAGAAAAACACUGCUAUAUCAUAAAAAUAUUUCAACCUUAAAUUACUUCCCACAAGCCUCAAGUUUCAGGCAGUUCAUAUCUGGGCAUAAAGAGAAAUCAAUGUAUUCUGGCUUGAAGGGCAAUGGAGUUUGGUAUUUGUCACACUUUGAGAGAUAACAAAUGCCUCGCAUAAAAUAGACCCAUUCUUUCCACUUUGCACCGUUGUUUCAGUCCGGCACUGCCACGCCGUCAUUAUGUCUGCGCUGACAGCGGUGUCCAGGCUUGCAGGAAACUGCGUUUCCGAGAAAGCUGAAUGCAGACGUCCCCCGAUUGGCGUGCACCUGCGCUAACCAGAGCUCCCACCUGAAACGAGCUCCCUGAUCUGGGGUUUGGUGCCCUGUUGGCUUUUCGAACAAACGGCUGCUCUCCCUCCCCCGCUCCCCUCACUGAAGCCCAGAUGCUCAGUGUCCCCUCCCUGCCCACUGUGGCGGGAGCCCAGGUCCCUCCUUCCGUGUUCACUCUCCUCCCUACCGUCCGAGAGCCGCUAGGGCUCCAGGUCUGGGGUCAGAGAUUGCUCCCACUGUCCCAAUACCUUGAUGGGGAGAAAGGUUUCAGCCUCUCUGAUCAGGGGGCUCCCCUGCUUGAAAGCCUUUAAUGGCGCCCGUUGUCCUGAGGGUCAGGUCCAAGCUCCUAAAGCAGCUCCCCAAACCCUCCCUCAUCUCCCGGCGCUUCUGCGCCCCUCUGCGGCGCCUGCCUCAGUCCCCAGCCCUCCGCAGCCGUUCUCCUCCCGCUGGACCUGCGUCCAGUCCCCCGACCUGCCACCCUAUCCCUGGCUCCCGCUGUGUGCGCAAGGCCUAGAGGGGGCUCAACUGGUUUUGGGGAGUCCUGCAAACGCACUGCCCCAAGCCUUGCGGUUUUGAUGGGAAAACACAUUCCAAACCAGCGUUCAAACCCGCGUGUGGGGCACAGACGCGGCCUGCACGCUUUGUUAAAGGAAUCCGGUUACAUUAGAAGAGGCUGGGCCCCGCCGCCAACCCCCUGCUCCUGUAAGAACCCCUGUGUAGGGAUUCUUACCAGAAGCUUCCAGCCGCCCACAGAAGCCAGGCCGACAUUCCGUGCCCGCCGUCUGGCACGUGAAGGCGUUGGGAACAGAAGCGGGAACGCGCCCCCUCGCGCCGCGCGGCUCCACAGCGCGCGUCCUCGGGGCCUCCGACAGGCCACCUGGGCUGCUGCGAGCUCAUUCUCGGGCGUUAACAGGUGUGGAGCUGGUAUUUAUCCGCAGCGGCGUUUCCCUGUGCGGCCGCUGCGAGCUCCCAUCUUCUUCCUAACCGCCGCAGGGCACCUUCGCUUCCCCGUGGUUCAAACAGCGCAGGAACUCUGGCUGGCUCAAGGUUUCUGAUGCCACAUCGGCAAACAUUUCUGUUACCCUUAACGAAACCAGCAGGUGACUUUUCUCUGGCCACAGUGAAAGCAGAGGCCUGCUCAGGUAAGUCCGGGACAGCGAGCCAGAGUCAGGGCCAUCCCAGGGGCGCAGAAUCUCAGGGGAGAGGACCACAGGGUGGGCCCUCUGGAAGCAUUUUCAUGCAGCUGAAGAAGGAAAGCCUACAGGGCCUCUUGGCUGAAGUGAAGAAGUGACUCUAAGCAGACAGAGAGGAGGAGGGACUCGGCGCCUGUGUGUGUGUGUGUGUGUGUGUGUGUGUGUGUGUGUGUGCAGGGUCUCUGUGGAUUGGUGACUAUGAUGAGCCUCAGGACUCACUCAGCAUCUGCUGAUGAGUUUGCCUUAUUUCCUGACCGUUUCCCAGGUCAAGUCUCUUCCUAUGACACCUACUGUUUCUCCAGCGCUCCCUCUAGCUCCAGGGCCGUCCUAGGACGUUCAUACAUGAUCUCAUUUAACCCCCAGACAGGCCUGCGGCCAGCACUAUUACCCCUCCUUAACACAGCAGGAGACGGAGCUUGGGGAGUUGACGCUACUUUUCCAAAUCCUGAAGCCAAGUCCCCAGGAUGCCACCGCCCACAAGCUGUUCUGCCACCGUUGGUCUCCCUGGGGACCAUAUGGAGAUGGGGGCCACGUCCCCUCCAAAGAUGCAGUGGAGGAAAGAGACUAAGAGCACAUUCCCAGACUUCUCAGCAUCCUUCAAAAUGUGUUUUCAGAAAUCCAGGAAAAAUGGCUGCUUGCUGAGAUUUGGGGAUAGAAAGCCUAUUUGACUGGUGAGACCUUCCUACUCUCUCCUUUUCAUUGCCCUUCUACAUUCAGUUAGCCACCUUACUCUCCUGCUUAACCCCUUUGAAUGGUGCCCAUUGCCCUCAGGGUCAGGUCUCACUCCUUAGGAUUCCCAGAUCUUCCAGAACCCUUCACUGUCAGAGCAAGCCCACUACAUUCUGUAGUUUAAAGGGUGGCAAUAAUGCCGUUUCAAUUAAACCCCUCUCAGGAAUGACUGUCAGACCUGGGUUUGUGUGAGAAAGACAUUGGGUGUUGCUGGUGGAAAGGACUUGGUUUGAGUGACUCAGGACUUGCGAACAGCUCUUACCUCAACGGAACAGUUCUUCAGCUUCUUGUCAUUUCCUGCAGAAUCCUUCAGUGUACUCAGCCUUCCCGGAGCUGGGAUGAGUCUGGCUGCUUGGCUGGGUCCUCCUCCUUUACAGCCAUCCCAGCACCCAGAGGGCGGGUCUGGUAAGGUGCGGCCUUCAGUGUGGGGGCGUGUGCCCACUCCGCUUCCUCAAAUGAGCAGCUGCCUUUCGCUGCUGGGAAAAUACUUAAGUUUUGGCUGUAGCUGAGAGAGUUUGACAAGCCUUGCAAGGCACAAACAUUCUUUAUCUGCAGGAUGAGGUUAGUUUCUGUUUGGGCCUGGUGUUUUUGUAAGAAGGAAAUCGCUUUCAUAAGCAUCAGAUUAGCUCCAGGAAGCAUCGCAGGACAAUGAAAAGCUGGUAGAGGCAGAACGUCAGGAUUUUCUCAUUGGUCACUACUGCCACCUCCUGGCCAAACUUGUGAACUACACAGUAUGGGCUUCCUAGGGAAACUGUACGUUACUCAUGCCACUCUCCCUCUUUCUGCCAGUUCUCUGUGGUGCAAAACGGAAAUGAGAAGAAUUAUUUUUUAGAUGGAGUGUUUAUUGAUAUAUAUAAUAUUAGCAACGACGAUAAAGCCGACACAAGAAUGAUGAAUAAACACACGGUGGAUUGUUCUCAAUAGGGAAAAGACUUUAUCAAAGCAAUUUAUUCCACCUUCUGACUCAGUGUUAGCUUUGUCUAAAGUAAGUCUUCAGCCCUUUUCUGAGUUGCUAAGACCUCCUGCCUGCUCUCCAAAGCUGACUUCUUAGCAAAUUUAGGUUAAUCUACCAACCAUUUUGGACAAUCAGUAAAAAAUUAAGGACUUAAGUGAAAAUUGUAGCAUAAAAAAUUAUUGAGUCUAAAGCACGUCUUUAUGCAAUAAAAAAUAUAAGAUUUGGUAUCAGUUGUUAUCCUUAUUUCAUAUUGGUUUUAUUCUUAGGAUCUUACUUUCUAGAAAUUUAAAUUUUGAGUUAGUUGAAGGAUUAUUGUAGUACACACAGUACACGUAUAUUGACAGAGGUAGAAAUAAGUUUUUCCAGUUAUUUAAAUUUUAUUUUUUGGGGGGAGGUUGUGUUUUACCUUUAAUAUCAAAUGUGCUGAGAUCCACAGGGGUUUGAUUUCAGAACCGUGUUAAGGAUAUUGGCAGAGAUUUCUCAGAAUCUUUUCUCCCCUUCUUCCUCAACAACAGAGUCUUAGCCAGUCCGGGGCCACUGUGUUAAUCUGGGUGUUCUGAAAAGCAGAUGCUAAGAAGAGACUAAACAUGUAAGGAAUUGUUUAGGGGGAAUGUCUAUUAGAGAAGAUGGGGAGUGAAACCAGACCACAAUGCAGGUCUGACCCCAAGUGCAGGAGACGGGGAGGGCAGGCAGGCUGGGUGCAGCCUCUUAGGCGCCAGUGCAGUUCUCAGGAAAGUUCUGCAAAGCUGCUGGGAUCCUUGGGAUAGGCGGAUUUCAGAGAUGAUACCCGAUGACCUCUGCCUCCUGAUACCCAUGCCCUUACGUAACCCUUUUCCUUUGAGGGUGGACUACACCUGGUGACUAGCUUCUAAGGACUAGAAUAUGACAACGUGAGGCAUGUCUCUUUCCAUGAUGCUUAGGAAAGACUGUGACUUCCAUCUUACUGGACUCUCUCUCUUGCUAAUUCUGAUGAAGCAAACUGCCAUGUUGGAAAAUUUCAUGUAACAGGGAACUGAGAGCAUCCUCCAGCCAACAGCCAGGAAAGAACUGAGGCCCUCGGUCCAUCCGUGAGAUGCUCAAUCCUGACAACCAUCGCGAGCUGAGCUUGGAAGCAGAUGCUUUCCCUGUUAGGCCUCAGAUGGGACCACAGCCCUGGCUGGCCAGUGAGAGCUCUUGAUGCAGAGGACCCAGGCAAACUGUCCCUGAUCCCUGACCUACAGAGACGAUGGAAAAGAGGCUGGAGCUUAUUGCAGCUGAGGGACCUGAAGACAGUGUGACUCAAUCUUGGGUGCCUCUCCAUGAUGUGGGGCUUUGCUCUCAGGCAGUUACAAACCAUCCCUAAGCGUCUACUGGUUCCUAGCUCAGAACGUGGUCUUUUCCCCACAUCUGUGGCCCUCUAUGACCACAGAAUGGAGCCGUGUGGCUGACUGGCACCAUCGGCAGCUGAGCUUCAUGUGGCUGCCUCCAUAUCCCACCUCUUCCCUCUCAGCCUUGGGGCCCCCAUGCACCUGUGUCUCGGAGGAUUUGGGGGGCCCUGGGAGUUCCUGGGUCGACCUGGGAAUUCUGAUAAGACUCUGAGCAGCCACGCUUGCUCUUUCGCUGGAUUUGGAUCUCCAUGUUGGCCCAUGUGCUAGGCCACUGAGAGCCUUAGAGACACUUGUGUUCUGUUCUCAACAAGAAGGGAAGAAUAAAGGCCCUAAUGAAAACUGGGAACGUUUUAGAAAAUCUAACUUUCCAGGCCUACAAACAUAAGACAGGAAAGUGAGUGUAAGCCUGGAUUUGUGGUCUACACCAUAAGAUUUGGAGCUCUGCGGGUCCCUUCACAGGAGCAAACAGCAUGUGAAUCACCUUGCGUGCCCCAAAGCUCUGAGCAGGGCUGGCUGGCGGGGAGAAAAGCUGCAGCAACAGAUGCUUUUGGGGCAACCAGGUUGUCAACGAGCUCCCAAGAAGCCACUGGAAGAGGAGACUUGGGAGGACAGGGGAUGCGACAAGGAAAUAAAGAAAGAAAUCCGGGCGUAGGUUCCAAGGCAGAGGAUGGCACGUUGUGGGCAGCCUGGCCUUCUUGCCGUCUCUCCCUGGUCUAACCGUUUAGAUCAAUGUAAACUUUAGGAAUAGAAGAGCUGAAAAAAACAAGCUAAGAACUGACUGAAAGAGUGUGCACUUCAUCAAAGCUGCUCUGUUUGGUAUUUCUGUUUCAUUUCUCAAUCAAUGAUCAAAAUUUAAAAAUAUCCGCAAAGACGUUUUAUAAAUUGUGAUAAAAUAUACAUAACCUAAAACUUAUCAUCUUCAUCACUUGUUCAGUGGCACUAAGAACAUUUGCAUUGCUGUGCAGCUGUCACCACCAUCCAUCUCCCCAAGAUUUUCAUCUUCCCAAACUGAAACUCUGCACCCAUUAGACACUAACUCUCCAUUCCUCCCCCUCCAGCCCCUGACACCGCUGUUCUGCUUCCUGUCUCUGUGAAUCUGACUGCUCCAGGGACCUCAUAUCAGUGGAAUCAUACAGUAUCUGUCCUUCGGUGACUGGCUUAUUUCACUGAGCAUAGUGUCCCCAAGAUUCAUCCAUGUUGUAGCAUAUGUCAGCAUUUCCCUCCUUUUUAAGGCUGAGUAAUGCUCCACUGUAUGUAUACACCACAUUUUCAUUAUCCAUUCGUCCAUCAAUGGGUUAUUUCCACUUUUCGGCUAUUGUGAAUAAUGCUGCUAUGAACAUGGGGUACAAAUAUCUGUUCAAGUCCCUGCUUUCAAUUCCUUUGGGUCCCAGAAAGGAAAUUGCUGAAUCAUGUGGUAAUUUUAUUUUUAACUUUUGAGGAACUGCCAUGCCAUGCACAAAUGCUUUAACACUGACUCUGCCAGCUCAGACAAACCAUUCUCUCUGUCUAACUAACUGUGAGUGAUUCAGGAUCAUCAGGGACUUGCUGUUACUUGGUAGCGCUGGGUUGGAAUAUUUUAAUUUAACAAGGGAUUCAUUUCAAUUUUUAAAAAUCUAGGAAGAAUCUUGCUGAUGUCAGCCCAUCCUUUGGGGGCAUGGCCGUGUCCCCCAAUCAGGUUUGGUGAGGAAGACAGAAUAAGAGCGCUGGGAGAUGUUCCCAUCUCUAUUCCCAGAACCUGCUACCUUAUAUGGUAAGAGGGGCUUUGCAGGUGUGAUUGAGGACCCUGAGACCUGGAGAGGAGCCUGGAUUAUCCAGGCGGUCCCAGUGUAAUCACAGCAUCCCUCUUGGUGAAUGAGGGAGGCAGGAGAGGCUCUGAGGAAGAUGUGACUGUGGCAGAAAGCCAUAGAGAGAUGCAGUGUUUUGCAGAUGGAGGAAAAGGCCAUGAGCUGAGGAAUGUGGGUGUUUUGAGGUCAAGGAAAUGGAUUCUUCCGUAGAGCCUGCAGAAUGAGCUGCAAUCCUGCCUUCACCUUGAUUUUAGACCAGCGAGAGCCAUUUCCCACUUCUGACCUCCAGAGCUGAAAGAUAAUAAAUUUAUGUUGUGCAAACCACUGGGUUUGUGGGGAUUUGCUACAGCGGUGGCAGGACACUAAUCCAGAUGGGGCCAUAGGGUCAUGUGUUCACGUUUUGUACUUGCCCUGUGUUUUCGCCAACGAAACCGGAAGUGCCCUGGGAGCGAGCCCUCACAGGGCCUCGUGGGAGGGGCAAGGUGAGCACUCCCUGUGUGUCAGCACAAAGGGGAGGAAGGGCAAGCCGGCCGGGCAGGGCGCAGUGCUGCCUCCAAACACGAGGGCCAAGAGGCUGCGCCUUCUGUAGUUCAAGAGCUCGGACGACAGCCCUGGAGGGGCCGCCGCCCUGCCCACUCAUCCACUGGUCUCCAAGCUUUAUAAAAAACGCGGUUCUGCUAAGAAUAGCUCCACUUAAAUUACUCUGACCAGAUACUAGUUUUAAUGGUAGUAAAUGAGUAAUUUAUUUAACCUCUUUGAACUUCAUUUAAAAAAAAUUUUUUUAAAUGGGGAAUAGUAUUACUUCACAGGGCAGUGAUGACUUUCAAAUUAUCUAAUUUAUGAGAAAGUAUCCAGCACAGUGCCCUUAAAAGCAAGCCCAUAAUAAGCACUUAAGGACUGAAAAAAAAACAUUUCAGAUAAAUGCAGGGUCACAGUGCUCAAGGCCCCUGAUUCUUGGUGAAGCGUUAUCUUCUCUGGUGUGCGCUCUUUCUGGGCUAUGUGAGCAAAUUCGCUGGCUUGCCUUGCAUCAGAGCUCCCUGCCUCAUUCCUUUCCUUUAG
ensembl:lncRNA